rnacentral:rRNA from 1 species
CUGCUAUUGGGAUUCGACUAAGCCAUGCGAGUUGUGAGGGUUCGGCCCUCGGCAGACGGCUCAGUAACACGUAGAUAAUUUGCCCUUAGGUGGAGGAUACCCUCGGGAAACUGAGAAUAAUACUCCAUAGAUCUAGACUGCUGGAAUGCUUUUAGAUUGAAAGAUUUAUCGCCUAAGGAUAAGUCUGCGGACUAUCAGGUUGUAGUUAGGGUAAAUACCUGACUAGCCGACGACGGAUACGGGUAGUGAGAGCUUUAGCCCGGAGAUGAUAUCUGAGACACGAUAUCAGGCCCUACGGGGCGCAGCAGGCGCGAAAACUUCGCACUGUGCGAAAGCACGACGAGGGAAUCCCAAGUGCUGGCUCGUAAGAGUCAGCUGUUUUUCUGUCUAAAAAACAGGGAGAGUAAGAGCUGGGUAAGACGGGUGCCAGCCGCCGCGGUAAUACCUGCAGCUCAAGUGGUGACCGCUAUUAUUGGGCCUAAAACGUCCGUAGCCGGUUUC